AGGGAAUCUUCCACAAUGGACGAAAGUCUGAUGGAGCAACGCCGCGUGAGUGAAGAAGGUUUUUCGGAUCGUAAAGCUCUGUUGUUGGUGAAGAAGGAUAGAGGCAGUAACUGGCCUUUAUUUGACGGUAAUCAACCAGAAAGUCACGGCUAACUACGUGCCAGCAGCCGCGGUAAUACGUAGGUGGCAAGCGUUGUCCGGAUUUAUUGGGCGUAAAGCGAGCGCAGGCGGAAUGAUAAGUCUGAUGUGAAAGCCCACGGCUCAACCGUGGAACUGCAUCGGAAACUGUCAUUCUUGAGUGCAGAAGAGGAGAGUGGAACUCCAUGUGUAGCGGUGGAAUGCGUAGAUAUAUGGAAGAACACCAGUGGCGAAGGCGGCUCUCUGGUCUGCAACUGACGCUGAGGCUCGAAAGCAUGGGUAGCGAACAGGAUUAGAUACCCUGGUAG
rnacentral:rRNA from 1 species